AGACCCGAAACCCGGUGAUCUAGCCAUGGGCAGGUUGAAGGUUGGGUAACACUAACUGGAGGACCGAACCGACUAAUGUUGAAAAAUUAGCGGAUGACCUGUGGCUGGGGGUGAAAGGCCAAUCAAACCGGGAGAUAGCUGGUUCUCCCCGAAAGCUAUUUAGGUAGCGCCUCGUGAAUUCAUCUCCGGGGGUAGAGCACUGUUUCGGCUAGGGGGCCAUCCCGGCUUACCAACCCGAUGCAAACUGCGAAUACCGGAGAAUGUUAUCACGGGAGACACACGGCGGGUGCUAACGUCCGUCGUGAAGAGGGAAACAACCCAGACCGCCAGCUAAGGUCCCAAAGUCAUGGUUAAGUGGGAAACGAUGUGGGAAGGCCCAGACAGCCAGGAUGUUGGCUUAGAAGCAGCCAUCAUUUAAAGAAAGCGUAAUAGCUCACUGGUCGAGUCGGCCUGCGCGGAAGAUGUAACGGGGCUAAACCAUGCACCGAAGCUGCGGCAGCGAACGUAUCACUUAAAGCGAUUCAGCGGGUUACGAUUGACGGAGCGAAGCGACGUCAAAGCGUAUACAAAGUCGAGUCGGUUUAAGGAUACGUUCGUUGGGUAGGGGAGCGUUCUGUAAGCCUGCGAAGGUGGCCUGUGAGGGUUGCUGGAGGUAUCAGAAGUGCGAAUGCUGACAUAAGUAACGAUAAAGCGGGUGAAAAGCCCGC
rnacentral:rRNA from 1 species